rnacentral:rRNA from 1 species
CAGUAGCCGCGGUAAUACGUAGGUGGCAAGCGUUGUCCGGAUUUAUUGGGCGUAAAGCGAGCGCAGGCGGUUUCUUAAGUCUGAUGUGAAAGCCCCCGGCUCAACCGGGGAGGGUCAUUGGAAACUGGGAGACUUGAGUGCAGAAGAGGAGAGUGGAAUUCCAUGUGUAGCGGUGAAAUGCGUAGAUAUAUGGAGGAACACCAGUGGCGAAGGCGGCUCUCUGGUCUGUAACUGACGCUGAGGCUCGAAAGCGUGGGGAGCGAACAGGAUUAGAGACCCCGGUAGUCCCUGUCUCUUAUAC